GAUAAGUUAGCUUAUGAGCCUGGGGACCAGCAAAGUCUUCUACAAUCCAAUCUGACCCACUUACCUUGGAAACUGAGCGCGAAUAUGUGUACAUUCCUCAUCUGUCUUCCUGUCUUCACUGCCAGCACGUAAGAGCAGCCUUUGCCUGCAGAUCCCUGAGUCCUCUUUCCUGGUUGUCUCUACAAUUGGAUGUAGCAUGACUGGGACACAAGCUAGUUAUUUCGAAGACCACAAAAGUGUUUGCCCAGAAGAAAUAUUGCAAGUUCUGUGGAUGGCCAUUCUUUUGUUGGUCUCCUAGCCAGCCCGUGGAGGAAAAGGAUCCUGCCAGUCCUGAUGGAACCUGAUAGGCUAGGGUCAGACAGUAGGAGAGGAGGACCUCCCCUAUCAGUGGACUGGGGAAG